rnacentral:misc_RNA from 1 species
GAUGAAGAACGUAGCGAAAUGAGAUAAGUAGUGUGAAUUGCAGAAUUCAGUGAAUCAUCGAAUCUUUGAACGCACAUUGCGCCCCUUGGUAUCCCGAGGGGCAUGCCUGUUCGAGCGUCAUUUCACCACUCAAGCCUGGCUUGGUGUUGGGCGACGUCCUCUUUGGGGACGCGCCUCGAAACGCUCGGCGGCGUGGCACCGGCUUUAAGCGUAGCAGAAUCUUUUGCUUUGGAAGUCGGGGCCCCGUCUGCCGGAAGACCUGCUCGCAAGGUUGACCUCGGAUCAGGCAGGGAUACCCGCUGAACUUAAGCAUCUCAAUAAGCGGAGGA